CCACGGGUUUGCACCCGUGGCUACAGCGUGUCGUCCUUUCAGGACU
rnacentral:sRNA from 1 species